rnacentral:tRNA from 1 species
UAAAGGUUAGUUUAAUUUAAAACCUUGGUCUGUGAUCCCAAAGAAAAUUUUUGAGAAAUUACCUUUAG